GACCUGGCCGGGCGGUCUGCCUCACGGUACGUACUGUCCGGCUGGGCCUUACCUCUUGGUGAGCCGGCAUGCCCUUUACUGGGUGUGUCGGGGAACCAGGACUUUACCUUGAGAAAAUUAGAGUGUCAAAGCAGGCCUAUGCCCGAAUACAUUAGCAUGGAAUAAUAGAAUAGGACGUGCGGUUCUAUUUUGUUGGUUUCUAGAGUCGCCGUAAUGAUUAAUAGGGACAGUCGGGGGCAUUGGUAUUCAGGCGCUAGAGGUGAAAUUCUUGGAUUGCCUGAAGACUAACUACUGCGAAAGCAUUUGCCAAGGAUGUUUUCAUUGAUCAAGGACGAAGGUUAGGGGCUCGAAAACGAUCAGAUACCGUUGUAGUCUUAACAGUAAACUAUGCCGACUAAGGAUCGGGCGACAUCAAUAUGAUGUGUCGCUC
rnacentral:rRNA from 1 species